UCCGUAGGCGGCGCGUUAGGUGGGGUGUGAAAUCCCUCGGCCCAACCGAGGAAUUGCGCUCCAAACCGGCGUGCUUGAGGAAGGUAGAGGUGAGCGGAACUGAUGGUGGAGCGGUGAAAUGCGUUGAUAUCAUCAGGAACACCGGAGGCGAAGGCGGCUCACUGGGCCUUUUCUGACGCUGAGGGACGAAAGCUAGGGUAGCGAACG
rnacentral:rRNA from 1 species